rnacentral:rRNA from 1 species
CAAUGGGCGAAAGCCUGACCCAGCAACGCCGCGUGGGUGAUGAAGGCCCUCGGGUCGUAAAGCCCUUUUCCCAGGGAAGAUGGAGUGACGGUACCUGGGGGAAUCAGCCCCGGCUAACUACGUGCCAGCAGCCGCGGUAAUACGUAGGGGGCAAGCGUUGUCCGGAUUUAUUGGGCGUAAAGCGCUCGCAGGUGGUUCGAUGCGUCGUGCGUGAAAGACCCUGGCUCAACUGGGGGGUGUCGUGCGAUACGGUCGGACUGGAGGCCAGUAGGGGGAUGCGGAAUUCCGGGUGUAGUGGUGGAAUGCGUAGAGAUCCGGAGGAACACCAGCGGCGAAGGCGGCAUCCUGGACUGGUCCUGACACUCAGGAGCGAAAGCGUGGGGAGCGAUCCGGAUUAGAUACCCGGGUAGUCCACGCUGUAAACGAUGAGCACUAGGUGUCGGGGGUAUCGACCCCCUCGGUGCCGCAGCUAACGCGAUAAGUGCUCCGCCUGGGGACUACGGCCGCAAGGCUA